CCUGGGGAGUACGGUCGCAAGACUGAAACUCAAAGGAAUUGACGGGGACCCGCACAAGCAGUGGAGUAUGUGGUUUAAUUCGAAGCAACGCGAAGAACCUUACCAGGUCUUGACAUCCCUCUGAUCGCUGUAGAGAUAUGGCUUUCCUUCGGGACAGAGGAGACAGGUGGUGCAUGGUUGUCGUCAGCUCGUGUCGUGAGAUGUUGGGUUAAGUCCCGCAACGAGCGCAACCCUUAUGCUUAGUUGCCAGCA
rnacentral:rRNA from 1 species